ACUAACAAGCUCGUGGACGACAUUGGUAUUGUGCUGUUGCGAUACCGUUGCUGGCGUUUCACGCUUUCGCGGGAUUAUAGUUUGAAUAAAAUCUCUGGAUGGACGGAAACGACUAUAUUUCAUGUCGUGUGGAUUACUGAGAGAGAGGUAGCCUACGCGUGGGAAUCGAGACACCUGAGCCGGAUAGCUACCUGUAACUUUUCUCUCUCGAAAGCUCUUCAUUGCGCUUUCGGUCGCUGGUUGACACGAUUCUCGCUGGGAAUUCGUCGCUGGACUGUAGACGUCGAUCGGAAGAUAUUUUGGAGGAGCGCUGUUGUUUAUCAUAAGAAACGGGAUUUAAUCGUGGAAACUACUACGAUGUCCGUUAUAGUGGAAACUCUGUUGCUGUAUAUGUUAAUUUCAGAAGGUAAGUCUUUUUCAGGUUUUUAACAUGGAAACAGGCAUUUUUCUUGGCUGCAUCACAAUAAUGGUCUUUCAGAGAAACUAUAUAUAGUUCAACCUUCAAUGGAGGGAGCUCUGCAGCUAUCGCUCAUGUACAGGCAAUGGAUAAGCUAACAAUCAAUGAUGGCAUUAAAACAUGUUUUCCUGCACUGCAUUUAAUAACAUAAAAUGCAUUUAAUGGGACAGUCAUGAUGAAUAAACUUUUGAAGCUAUGAAAAAGGGUCA
ensembl:lncRNA